CGAUCGGGCGGCAUGGAGGAGAAUGUACUAUUCUUGGUAUGAUUUGAAGCCACAAAAAGACACGGUGCGGUGGUUUAUUUCCUGGUGCUGCUAUAUAUGAGACUGACGUGCAGCGCAUCGAAGUCAAGCCGGAUCACCUGCAUGACGUCCUUCGAAUAGCGCCGCUGAUUGGUUAAAGAUGCGGACCGUUGAGUUGUGAUAUUCUUUUCAUUUACGAAAUUGAUGUUAAUAAAAUUUUUUAUUAUUUCAGCGACGAUUUCCCCGCAAGAGAGUAACGCUACGAGACCUUAUCUAAAAAUAAUGGAAACAAUUAAAAUAGUAAUAGUAAUUUUUAUAUACAUGCUCUAACUUAAUAUUAAUGUAACCAUUAAUAUACUUAAUAUAACUUGAUAUUAAUUGAAACAGAAAUACCAGAAACACAGUCAGACGUUGGAAAAAUGAAAUUAAGAAGACAAGACUGGAUCGUGAGGUGGAGGAAACGAACGGAGGUUAUGAGCGUACAGACGGAAGGCCUGGCGUACCUGCUGCUGGACUGGCCUCUGUAGGUGAAACUGUAAAUACCUCACUUCCUCUUCAAAUGCCAAAACCACAUUUUAUAUUUAUGAAAAUCAAAAAAUAUAUUUUUAUCAGUCAACAACAAAAUUAUAAUACUCUACCCUCAAGUUAUGAAGUUAAGUUUUUAAAUCUUGAAUGAUCUGGCUGCAGAAUCUGUAAACACUCUGUUCUGAAAGCCAAACCGCAGACAGGUGAGACAGAAGGGCCGGAAGGAGCAUCACCUGCCGGGGUAAGAACACAGGAAUCCCUGCUGCAUCACACCAUAUUCUACCAGGGUCUCAAAUAUAUUGCAGUAUUUGCUUUUCUGCUUCUGUUCUGUCAGUUUUACUUUCUAUAGAACUUCCCCUCACAGAGGCAAAUAACAUCUAUCAUCUAUAUAUCUACGUGUAUAUACACACACGCACACACACACACACACACACACACAGUACCUCUGAUUAGCAUUAGUUAUAUAUAGGGUAAUUUAUCAGAGGCACUGAACUCAGUGUUUUAGAGUAGCAUUGGAAAUCUGUCUCUUUAAAAGUUAAUAGAGAAUUUCAGCUUUGCAACAGCAGAGAAAAAAAGCAUGAGAAUGCAACAAUUCCCUGGCCCUGAUUUGCUGGCCAAUCAACUGAGCAUUGGUUGGGGGCGGGGCUCUUUGCUUUUUAAAUUCCUUCCCAUGGCCUCAUUUUUGUGUGUAUUGAUGGAUAUGACAGAGAGGGAGCAUGGUUUAGCAACAGCACUGCUACAGGGAAGCUGAAAGCUAAAGAAUUGUGUAGAAUAUGGGCUAUGGGAGUAGGUUUUGCUGGGAAGGGUUGGCACCUGUAGGAGGGGCUCAUUAGUGCUGCUGCCCCACCCUAAGGAGGGCUCUGGGCAGGCAGCAGAAGCCCACAGCCCUGAUGUGCUGAUCCAGCUGAUGAAAGGCGGGGUGGAUGGUCAACUAGCCUUUACCACGGAGUAAUGCCUCUACAACUGCGGAUGUGAGCUUGUGCUACACAUGGGUGUUUAAUGGUGAAGGCUCAGAGCUGAUAAAUGCCGCCUGUAGUGUUUACAGGCACAGUUAACUUAAUAUAGCCAGUGUGCUAAGGGUACUUUAUAUCUGGAAUGUGUUUAGACAG